rnacentral:rRNA from 1 species
UACGGGGGGGUGCGAGCGUUGUCCGGAAUUACUGGGCGUAAAGGGCGCGUAGGCGGCCUUCUAAGUCGAACGUGAAAUCCCUGGGCUCAACCCAGGAACUGCGUCCGAUACUGGAAGGCUUGAAUCCGGGAGAGGGAUGCGGAAUUCCAGGUGUAGCGGUGAAAUGCGCAGAUAUCAGGAGGAACACCGAUGGCGAAGGCAGAUCUCUGGGCCGUAACUGACGCUGAGGAGCGAAAGCAUGGGGAGCGAACAGG